AGCGAACGUUAGCGGCGGGCCUAACACAUGCAAGUCGUGCGAGAAAGUCCUUCGGGACCGGUAAAGCGGCGCACGGGUGAGUAACGCGUAGGCAACCUACCCUCCAGAGGGGGACAACUUUCCGAAAGGAAAGCUAAUACCGCAUAAGACCACAGUAUCUGCGGAUACAGUGGGAAAAGAUGGCCUCUCCAUGGAAGCUAUCACUGGAGGAUGGGCUUGCGUCCCAUCAGCUUGUUGGUGAGGUAAUGGCUUACCAAGGCGAAGACGGGUAGCUGGUCUGAGAGGAUGAUCAGCCACACUGGCACUGGAACACGGGCCAGACUCCUACGGGAGGCAGCAGUGAGGAAUAUUGGGCAAUGGGCGCAAGCCUGACCCAGCCACGCCGCGUGAGUGACUAAAGGCUUUCGAGUUUGUAAA
rnacentral:rRNA from 1 species